rnacentral:rRNA from 1 species
CUUUCAAAGGAAAUGAUGAAUUUAUUAGAUUAACCAACGCGGAGUAUUUAGACUGUGCAGAACUUGUGUCUGUGUGGGCUUCGGUCUCUUCUGAGAUACUUUUGGUGAUUCAAAAUAACUUAUCGAAUCGCAGAGGCGUUUACGUCGGCGAUGAUACAUACAAAUUUCUGCUCGAUUAACUGUCGAUGGUAGUGUAGUGGACUACCAUGGUGAUAAUCGAUGACGGGGGAUUAGGGUUCGAUUCCGGAGAGGUAGCCUGAGAAAUGGCUACCACUUCCAAGGAAGGCAGCAGGCGCGCAAAUUACCCAAUGCUAACUCAGCGAGGUAGUGACAAGAAAUACCAAUACAAUGCCAAUGGUGUUGUGUUUGGAAUGAGAGUAAUCUAAACAUUUACUCGAGGAACAAUUGGAGGGCAAGUCUGGUGCCAGCAGCCGCGGUAAUUCCAGCUCCAAUAGUGUAUAUUAAAGUUGUUGCAGUUAAAAAGCUCGUAGUUGGAUAUCGGUAACUAUCAUGAGUGUCUACUCUCAAUGAGUACGUACACGAAUGUAGUACCUUCUUUCUGGAUGUGAUUUUAGAUCGCUCCAGAUAUUUUACUUUGAGAAAAUUAGAGUGUUCAAAGCAGGCGUAACUUUGCCUUUGAAUAUAUUAGCAUGGGAUAAUGAAAUAAGACUUUUGCCUUAUUCUCGUUGGUUCUUUUAGGCUUAAGUAAUGAUUAAUAGGGACAGUUGGGGUUAUCUGUAUUUGAUCGCCAGAGGUGAAAUUCUAAGACUGAUCAAAGACAAACUACUGCGAAAGCAUUUAACAAGGAUGUUUUCAUUAAUCAAGAACGAAAGUUGGGGGAUCGAAGAUGAUCAGAUACCGUCGUAGUCCCAACCAUAAACUAUGUCGACCAAGGAUUCGAAAGCGUUACAUGAAUGACCUCUCGGGCACUUAUAGAAAAUCAUAAGUAUUUGGAUUCCGGGGGGAGUAUGGUCGCAAGGCUGAAACUUAAAGAAAUUGACGGAAGGGCACCACAAGGAGUGGAAUAUGCGGUUUAAUUUGACCCAACACGGGAAAACUUACCAGGUCCAGACACAAGGAGGAUUGACAGAUUGAGAGCUCUUUCUUAAUUUUGUGGGUGGUGGUGCAUGGCCGUUUCUAGUUGGUGGAGUGAUUUGUCUGGUUAAUUCCGUUAACGAACGAGACCUUAACCUAUUAAAUAGUAACACUUACUUGGAUAAUUUACUUCCAACAGUAGGUGGUUUACUUCUUAGAGGUACUCUUCACGUAAAGAGUGAAUGGAAGUUUGAGGCAAAAACAGGUCUGUGAUGCCCUUAGAUGUUCUGGGCUACACGCGUGUUACACUGGUACAUUCAACAAGUAUAAUAUUCCUUACUCUAGUGAGUCGGGUAAUCUUCUAAAUAUGUAUCGUGAUGGGGAUAGAGCAUUGUAAUUUUUGCUCUUGAACGAGGAAUUCCUAGUAAGUGCAAGUCAUUAACUUGCGCUGAUUACGUCCCUGCCCUUUGUACACAUCGCCCGUCGCUCCUACCGAUGAAUGGUCCGGUGAGGAUUCGGGAUGACCUUUGAUGCUGAUCUAAUCACAUCACUGAUUGUCAGAACCUAUUCAAACCUUAUCAUUUAAAGGAAGGAGAAGUCGUAACAAGGUU